rnacentral:rRNA from 1 species
UGGGGAAUUUUGCGCAAUGGGCGAGAGCCUGACGCAGCAACGCCGCGUGGGUGAUGAAGGUCUUCGGAUCGUAAAACCCUGUCGUCAGGGACGAAGGUCACGAGUUUAAGAGAUGCGUGACUUGACGGUACCUGGAGAGGAAGCCCCGGCUAACUCUGUGCCAGCAGCCGCGGUAAUACAGAGGGGGCAAGCGUGAUUCGGAAUUAUUGGGCGUAACGGGCGCGUAGGCGGUGUCUUAAGUGAGACGUGGAAUCCCCGAGCUUAACUUGGGAACUGCAUCUCAGACUGGGGCGCUAGAG